rnacentral:ncRNA from 1 species
UUGCCACAACGGCUUCCUGACGUGGCAAUCUAAUUGAACUGGAGCA